rnacentral:rRNA from 1 species
ACUCCUACGGGAGGCAGCAGUGGGGAAUCUUGGACAAUGGGCGCAAGCCUGAUCCAGCCAUGCCGCGUGAGUGAUGAAGGCCCUAGGGUCGUAAAGCUCUUUCGCCAGGGAUGAUAAUGACAGUACCUGGUAAACGAAACCCCGGCUAACUCCGUGCCAGCAGCCGCGGUAAUACGGAGGGGUUAGCGUUGUUCGGAAUUACUGGGCGUAAAGCGCGCGUAGGCGGAUUAGUCAGUUAGAGGUGAAAUCCCAGGGCUCAACCCUGGAACUGCCUUUAAUACUGCUAGUCUUGAGUUCGAGAGAGGUGAGUGGAAUUCCGAGUGUAGAGGUGAAAUUCGUAGAUAUUCGGAGGAACACCAGUGGCGAAGGCGGCUCACUGGCUCGAUACUGACGCUGAGGUGCGAAAGUGUGGGGAGCAAACAGGAUUAGAUACCCUGGUAGCGACUGA